AGUGAACGCUGGCGGUAGGCCUAACACAUGCAAGUCGAACGGCAGCACAGUAAGAGCUUGCUCUUACGGGUGGCGAGUGGCGGACGGGUGAGGAAUACAUCGGAAUCUACUUUUUCGUGGGGGAUAACGUAGGGUAACUUACGCUAAUACCGCAUACGACCUACGGGUGAAAGCAGGGGAUCUUCGGACCUUGCGCGAUUGAAUGAGCCGAUGUCGGAUUAGCUAGUUGGCGGGGUAAAGGCCCACCAAGGCGACGAUCCGUAGCUGGUCUGAGAGGAUGAUCAGCCACACUGGAACUGAGACACGGUCCAGACUCCUACGGGAGGCAGCAGUGGGGGAUAUUGGACAAUGGGCGCAAGCCUGAUCCAGCCAUACCGCGUGGGUGAAGAAGGCCUCCGGGUUGUAAAGCCCUUUUGUUGGGAAAGAAAAGCAGCAGGUUAAUACCCCGCUGUUCUGACGGUACCCAAAGAAUAAGCACCGGCUAACUUCGUG
rnacentral:rRNA from 1 species